ACGCUCGACACCUACGGGAGGAAGCAGUAGGGAAUCCUUCCACAAUGGGCGCAAGCCUGAUGGAGCAACACCGCGUGAGUGAAGAAGGGUUUCGGCUCGUAAAGCUCUGUUGUUGGAGAAGAACGUGCGUGAGAGUAACUGUUCACGCAGUGACGGUAUCCAACCAGAAAGUCACGGCUAACUACGUGUCAGCAGCCGCGGUAAUCUGAGCGGGCUGGCAAGGC
rnacentral:rRNA from 1 species